UCCAGAGGCUCAGGGCGGCUUGCAGAGUCGUUCCGAGAAUUCUCCGAGUGCGAGUGGAGUUUGAGUGGAGGAAUUUUCAUUGCACAGUCGAGAACGGAGUAAAAACGAAGUAAUAUCCGAAUGAAACCGAGUAAAAACGAAGGAAUAUUGGAGUGUACGCUCAGCUACACUCCGAGGGCCCUCGGAGUGAAAUAUGGAAAAGAAUUCAAGAUGGCUGCGUUAUUAGAACCAAUUGUUGUGGAAUUUCUUGAUUUAAUUGAUGAAGUAUUUCUAGAAAAUGAAGAAAGAAACGUUGCCAGGGACCCACGUCAGUAUUUGAGGGAUUUUAAAAAUCCACAGGAGUGGUUUAGUGACGUGCUGUUCAGACGACGAUAUCGCUUUACCAAGGAUCUUGUUCGGCAUCACAUUCUGCCUUUGCUAGUGUUUGAAGAACCACGGAGUCGUCGAGGAUUACCGCUACCGCCUGUCCUGCAGCUGCUAAUUGCCUUGCGAUUUUACGCAACAGGCACUUUACAGAUGGUGGCAGGCGAGUUAACAGGCGUUAGCGAGUCCACAGUUUCCCGAAUUAUCAGACGUAUCUCUGUCGGUUUAGCGCAACAUACUCUACAUCGGAUACGGUUUCCCACUGGCGAUGAAUUUCGAUUGAACAAGCUACGAUUUUAACACUUUCCCGGUGUUACAGGAGUGACUGCACCCACAUAAAAAUCAAAAGCCCCGGCGGUGGUCGGGGGGAAGUAUACAGCUUAUUCGAAGAUGGGCGUGUGCAGGGACUGCUGCUGGGAGACAGUGGUUACCCACAGUUGCCAUACCUGUUCAUGCCCAUACCAGAGCAGCCAGUCCGUACAGAUGCAGAGCAGAGGUACUCAUGGCUCAUGCUCGGACGAGGAAUCUGGUGGAAAGGAUGUUCGGUGUUUGGAAGCAGCGCUUUCCCUGCUUGCAGCUUGUUUUAUGAAACAAGCUGCAGACAACAGCAGCUAUCAUUGUUGCCUGUGCCAUUUGUCACAACAUUGGUAUCAGGCACAAUGAUUAUGUGGAAGAAGCUGAGCUGUAGGUGAGAAGUGUUUUGUUAUAUAUUAUUAAUUAGUAUUGGCGACACCUGGGUUUUCUUCCCUGUAACUUAGUGUAUUAUUUGCAAAUGAAGUGCAUAGUACAAAUACCUACUUGUUCAGUUUGUGAAUUGCAAUGAUGUUUAUUACAUAUUACUUCCUCUUUGAAAAUACAAAUGCUUUUGUACCUAUAAUGUGAUAUAUAAACAGCUAUAAAAUAGGAACCUUGUACAAAUAUUUAAACAGGCAAUGGCAAUAAACAUUGAAGCAAACUAGAUAUCUUGGCAGCCAAGGUCAAUUGGCAAAAUCCACCUGAAGAAAUCUGCACAUGAGGGGCUCGACUGGUGCUACAUUACAGAAGGCAAACCCUAGCAUGCCAGAUGAAAAGCUUUUUGCUGUAUUUUUCUGAUGGUGUCUUCUGUUGUUUAUACACAACUUGCAGUGUGUAUAUGUGUGUAUAUGUGUGAGUGCGUGCGUGUGUGUAAAACAAACAUGUUUUAUAAUUGAUACAAAGCUAAGGUAGAGACCAUUUACACUAUAGUAAUGAUAAUCUACCUAUAAACAAUUAUUGCCUGCAUUCUAAUAUAUUGAUUGGUUUGUUACAGGCAACAAUGAUGUGCCAAUCCCACCAGUUCCUCUCCGACCUGGGCGCGCCUGGCCAUCAGGAACAAGUUCAUCAUCCGGCAUUUCAAUUAGCUGUUUUGAAAUGAUUUUUACACACAUUGUUUCAUGUGGGUUUUUGAAAUCCGUGACCUGAUUGUACUGUUUAAUAUUAGGUUUGUUUGGCUGGAAUGAAUAUUUUAUGAUUUUUGCACUCAUUGUUAUGGCUACUUAUGAAUAAUUCAAUGAUAUAUCUUCAUUUGUUGCUAAGCCAUUCCAUUGCAGUUUCUUUAAUCCUUCACAUACCUACAGGCCCUGGCAUUUUAUUUCCAACUUGUAAACAAAUUUCAAUUAAAUUAAGAAAUUUACAUGAACUUUCUAAUAAUGCAGCCUUUUACAAAUGUCUGAGUAAAGAAGUACAUUUGUUUAUAUUUUUGCUUUUUGAUUCUUUUGUAUUUUAACUUGAUGAAAUAGGUAAUGUUUUGUUAAAAGUAUUAUUGUGCAAACAUAUUUAUGUUGUCUCAAGUAUCAUUUUGUUCACUUACCUAUGAUAUAGGAUUGUAUUGCAGGAUCUUAUUUCAUUUUACGUUUGUUUAGUUAAAAUGGUUUAUAUCUUAAGAAAGAAAAGUAAUAUAAAAUAUAUUUGUUUAAAAACAUUUAGAUAUACAGGUGUGGUGAAAAUAGGUAGGAAACUGUGAAUUCAACUAUUAUGCAAAAACAUUGGGAAUCAGUUGGUAAAAACUGGUUUCAUGAUUGAAAUACUUUGAUGUGUUGGGUAAGAAUGUUUCCAAAUGGAACAUUGAAAAUUAGUUGAUUGUUUUGCAGAUCCUGUUGCUGCCGCCAGUCGUGGCUCCACUCAAGUGCUCGGUGCUGCCCCUCAGUGGCAACGUGCAGUUGCUGUGUGUGCAGAGCAGUGUCAUCAUCCUCGGUGGGCAUGACCAGGAACAUUCAUACAUGCAGGAAUUACAUCAUAUUGAAGAUAAUUUAUUAUUUAAUGAUUUUGCAUGUUAUUUAGACAAACAUUUCAGGGAAAUUGUGGGCAUACUUUGCCUAGGCUUGUAAUAAGCACUCGUGUGGUUUACCACUGAACUACCCUUCUUUGUUUAAAAAAAAUAACAAUAUUCUUCUACAAUGUUUUUUAUUUUUGACAAGAAGGGUAAAGUUAUGAAAAUACAAAAGUACAGCUACAAAUCUUUUAAAUGCAAUGCCAAAAGCAAAGAUUGUACGUUUUAAUAUUUUACUUGUUACAGUUGUUUUAAUUGUUUAAUAAUCAUGCAUUAAUACAUAACAAGAUAAUAUCAAGAAAUAUUGUUAUGGAACCUAUUGAACUAUAACAUUUUAAUGUAUGUAUAUACAGUAGAACCCGUUUAUAGUGAACCCGCCUAUAAUGAAUUCCCGUUUAUUGUAAAUUUCCAUCUCGGUCCCGGCAAAAUGAUGUGAGGUUAUGUAUUAAUUUAUUGGAUAUGGCGUACAACUUUUGUCAAUGUUGAUACGUUUUCCCGUGUAUAACGAACAAAUUUUGCCGACAUAAUGCACAUUUAUCUCAAAUAUUUUCAUAUAAUUACAAGUUUUUUCACAAAACGUCUAUUCUGGAUCACAUUAACGUUUUUCUCCGCAAUAUGCUACUCGAUUGUCCACUGUUCAUAUUAUAAACAAGUCGUAAUCGAGUUGCCUCAGUAGGCUACGUGUAGCCAGAAAUGGUGCUCAGUUUGGUGAAAAUAAAAAAUAGUUUUCCCUGCAUAGCUAAAGAAUGGGCGAACGCGUGUACAUUUAAUAAGUUAUCAAAAUUAAACAUAAAUUACACAAAUACGUAUGUACAUUAUAGCAGCAAAUUGAAUAUUUUUACGUCUCAUUUUUAUCGUUCACGUUUCGGACAUUUUGAUAGAGUAAGGUUCGUAAGACUACCACUAGAUAGAACUCUGUGGACUAAAUUUUUCCAUAGAAAGUAAGAAAUUUUCGUUCCAGCUAUAGCAACUGCGAUACUAAAUGAUACGUAGUGAUCUUUGAUGCGCCACUCGUUAUUUUUCGUUUAUUUACUUUUGACGGUAAAAAGAAUUUCGUGUUAUUAAGCUGCAAAUGUGCUUCAAUAAGAAAUACAUACAUAAAAAAGGGUGAAAAACGCGUUAAAAAACGUAAGGCAUUAUCUGUGCGAGAUAAACUGGACAUUAUUAAAAAGGUAGACUCCAACCCCACAGUCCCGCAUGUGUUAAUAUCAAAGGAAUUGGGAAUUGCAACAUCCACAUUAAGUACAAUAUUAAACAAGCUGAACAAUCUUCUUUCUCAAGUUGCGAACACGUCACAGAGUAUUAAACGCCUGAAAAAAUGAAAAUACGCCGAUGUCGAAGAACCAUUAAUAGAAAGUUUGUACAUGUGUAGUGUAUUAAAAAUAUCUGCAUUUGCUCAUAAAACUUGCUUUGAGUAUUUUCAUUCGUUCUUUUCUUGGCUUAGGCCUAUGUGUAGUUAAGAUUAUGCUUUUGAGUAUGAAUUGCCAAUAUAAAAGUUUUCCCAGAUAUAAAGUUUCCCCUCUAUAGUGAACAUAUAAACUACUCCCUUCAGAUUCAUUAUAACAGGGUUCUACUGUAAUUGAUUGUGUUGUAUGUUAUUUCUUGUGGCAACAAUUUUUAAGUUGUUAAUUUUAUUCACGAUCUUAGUAUUUCAAUACUAUUAACACAAAUCACAACAUAGUACACAGUGUUAAAAGCCCUUCAUAAUUCUUGUACAUUUCUGUCUGAUGUUUCUCUGGAGACCUUUAGCCAUCUGUUUUAGAUCUGAUAUUGACUGCUACUAUAUAUGUAUUUCAUGUAUUUAUAAUAUGGUUACACAAUACAAAAUACUUUAUGGUCACCUUUGCAUGUUAUUAUUUAUUUAAAUUGUUACUUUUAUUUAAACGCUCUGCCACACACAUUAAUUUAUAUUGCAUGCCGUAUGUAAUUUCCAUCAGCUAAAACAUUUCAUGUACACAUACAUGUACAUUACAUACAUAUUUCACAUACCGCUACUUUAUGUUUAUUACUUUCAGUAUGAAUCUGAAAAUGUUCAAUUUCUGUGAGUUGAUGUUUUUGAAUUUUGAAUUACGGGAUGUGGUAUUAAUGUGUGUUUCGUACCCCUUUGAGUAAACCUGAAAUGUUAUUGUAACUCAUUCUGGCUCAUACGUUUUGUGAUUCAGCACACCCUGUUUUAUAAUAAAUAAUUAUAUAUAUAUUUGUACAUAAAUAGUAAAUACUUUUGUCUCUUAUUAAGGGCCACUUCAAAGUCCUUCAAUUUUCGUAAGUUCUGUGGCCCAAAACUUUUAUGUAUAACAAAACUGUCCAAUUCAUUGUUCAUUUUGAUCACCUUUAAAUUCAAAAUGGCACAUUUUGCUGUCUAACUUUGAACCUAUUAAGUAAAUGUAAGUGGUGAUUUAAGUAAACACCAGGGCUACAAAUUUUAGAUGUACACUAUGCUUAGAUUUGAUGUGUGGUAUCAGAGGGUUAAUCUCUGAAAUUAAUUGUUAGACUAACUAUUUAACUUUGUUAUUCCGUUGAAGGUUUUGUGAUAUUACAAACUUUCUACCUCUUUAUAGUGGUGAAGAUGAAGUAAAGGUGUCCUUAAAACUCAGUAGUUUUUACUGCACAAGAGGGUACAAGCCAUAAGAAAACUAGGUGAUAAAACAAACAGGCAAUACCACAUUCCUUUCAUUAUUUGGGUGUAUGCAAAACGUUUUAUUGCUUUAGGCUUUGUAUGGUACAUCUGGUUAACCUAAGUUAUUGACAUUGAUAUAUUUAAAGGUACAUUUGCCAUUUUAACAUAUUAUUUGUGGUAUCAAUGUGUAGUUUAAGACAACAUAACUUACAAAUAUUACUGUGCAGCAAUGAGAAUUAAGUGACUAUGUAGUGACCUGUAGCAAUAUACUUUAUCAAUUAUAGUAUCAAUAGUGUGAGUUAAAUUAAAAUAUUGUACCAAUAACUCGGAACGAGAUUUCACUUUGAAAUUGGAUAACACUAAAAUAUCAGUAGAUACAUUUAACGAAAACAAAAUAUAUAAAUGUACAAAUGGAUGGAAAAGUUAAUUAUGUUUCCCAAGUGAAGAUUGACUUAUUUUUCUCAAUUUUCUCUUAAUGGUGUUAACAUUGUUGCAUGUAUUUAACAAUGCUCCAUUCACCAACUUUACGUAAAGUUGAAUAUCAUUAUUGCCACUGGGUAGGUAAGUUGAUGACUCAUGAGUGUGUGAUGAAAAAUAAUAUAUGAAAAAUACUACAUCUGCUACGAAUAAGUUGUUGGGUUUUAAUUGCCAUAGUUAAUACAAACAUGAAAUUCUUAAAGCAACAAUACAAUUGUCUGCUUUGUAUGUAAUAUAUUACUUAAUAAUAAUAUACCUACGUUAUUUGGCAUGCAAUUGACUCUUGAAAAUUAUACACCCAAAUACAAAAUAAAGGUUUGUGUGAAUUAGCAGCUGUAGUAGAGCAUCGAGGCUGAAGAGUAGGAGCAACAUCCUCACAAGAACUGUCUGAAGCUGGGUCUUCUGAAAUAUACAAAGAAUGCAAAUAUGUUUUGUGAGGAUGAGAAACAAAAUAUAAUCAUCUGCUGUGAGAUUAAUGUUUAACAAAUUUGCCUCUAAAUUAAGAAGUUUAUUGAGAUAUGCCAAUUAGUAGUCACCUUUAUGGUUUGGAUUUGAAGAUUCUAUCACAUAAAUGUUAAUUAUUUAAAAUUAUACAACAUCAGCCUAUAAUGUCUAAGUGCACGAAUGAGAUAGAAUUCAACUAAUGCAUAUAAAUGUUCAGUCUGAAUUGGGUGUAGUAUUAAUCAAAUACAUAUGAUUGAAACAUGCAUUAUAAAGUGUAAUUUUGUAACCAGACUUCAGAUUGAUGGUGUCAGUCAUUCCUAAUGUUGAUAACUACUACGUUAUAUACUAUCCCUCCUUUUCCCCAUUACUUGUACAAUAUUCUGUUUGUUAUCACUUACAAUAAGUGGCUUUUGCACAAUCAACCAACACAAACUAUUUUGCCAUCUACCCUUAGCAAUGUGUUAGUUCAUCGGGGAGCAUGAUGAUGAUGAUGAUAUGAUGCAUUAUUUGUAUACAAUUGUUACAAAAAUACAAUUAAUUGUAAUUAUUUUCUUCACAAUACUGGAAUUAGAAUACCUACUUUCAAUAGUCGUACGCAAUCUUUAAUUUGUACGUUAAGUAAAACAAAUGAUCUAUUAUUCAGAAUCACUAAAAAUUACAAUAAAUAUGCAAGGUUCUUUCCUGUAUUAGAUAGCACAAUAAAAUUUAAAAAAAUACAACUAUACAUAACUUAUUUUUUUUUGUGGUUAAUAAUUAUAUUGUUUCAAGUUAGUUUUUUUCCCUGCAUUAUAAAUUUGUAAAGAAAUUAUUUACUUAUUGUAUGUUGCAUGUUGUGUGUAUUGUUUUUGUUUUGUUGUCUUGUAUUUUGUAUUGUUUUGUUCUGUCUGUAUGUAUCAGUGUUGUUUGUAUCGUGCCUACCACCCAAGGCCAUAAGCUGUAGGAAGGCACGCAACAAAUAUUAAAUAAAUAAAAUAAAUAAAAUAAAUAAAA